GUUCAGUGAUGGUUUUGUAUCAAAUGACCAGCAUGAGCAUGCACGAUCUAUUUCGGAGAAUGCAGAUACCUUACCGACAAAUGCCCUACACAUUUCUAUCCCUUCUAGUAAUUACAAGUCCCCAAGACCAACCAUGUCACCAAUGUCACCAAGAUCAUGUACCGUAAGUAUUACGAGUCCUACAGAAGGGAGUCCAAGCAAGAGAAGUCCAGGCAAGAGAAGUCCAGGCAAGUAUGAGAGACAUUCACUUUCUCCCAAAAAUGGGCAACCCAAGAAAGGUAGCGCUGGGGUUAAAGAUACGUGGGAAGGGUCAGUUGAUACCGAAGAAAAUUAUCUUCUUAACCCCAAAGACCCAAACUACGACAGUAGUGAGGAUUAUGGAUAUCUAAAUGCAAUAAAUCUGCCUAAAGAUUUUGAUGAGUACAAAAAGAAAGCUACAGUAAUAGUAGAGGAGUAUUUUGCCACUGAUGAUGUUGUCUCCACUGCUAAUGAAUUAAAAGAACUUGGGAUACCAAGCUAUAACUACUAUUUUGUGAAGAAGCUGGUCUCUAUUGCUAUGGAUAGGCAUGAUAAGGAGAAAGAAAUGGCUGCUGUUCUGUUAUCCACGCUUUAUGCAGACGUCAUUGAUCCCUCGCAGGUUUACAAAGGCUUCAAUCUAUUGGUUGAGGCUGCAGAUGACUUGAUUGUUGAUAUACCUGACACAGUUGAUGUUUUAGCACUGUUCGUAGCUCGAGCUGUGGUUGAUGACAUACUCCCUCCAGCAUUCUUAAAGAGACAAAUGGAUUCCUUGCCUCCCGAUUCAAAGGGAGUUGCAGUACUACAGAGAGCUGAGAAAAGUUAUCUAGCAGCUCCACUUCAUGCUGAAAUAGUUGAGCGACGAUGGGGAGGCAACAGGAACAAAACAGUUGACGGGGUCAAAGCUAAAAUAGACAAUUUGCUGAAUGAGUAUGUAGUGAGUGGUGACAAAAAAGAAGCUUGCAGAUGCAUCAAAGAUUUGAAAGUGUGUUUCUUUUACCAUGAAAUUGUCAAACGAGCACUUAUAAUGGCAAUGGAGAGGCGUCAAGCUGAAGGACGAAUUCUUGAUUUGUUAAAAGCAGCAGCAGAAGAAGGUUUGAUUAAUUCAAGCCAAAUAACAAAGGGUUAUGGCAGGUUGAUUGACAUUGUUGAUGAUUUAUCACUUGACAUCCCAAAUGCAAGACGUAUAUUGCGGUCUUUGAUUUCUAAGGCGGCAUCUGAGGGCUGGUUGUGUGCUUCAUCUUUAAAAUCAUUCUCAUUGGAGCCGGAGAAGAGAUCAUUAGGAGAUGAUGCCGCCAAAAUUUUCAAGAUGAAGGCUCAGUCAAUUAUCCAAGAGUAUUUCUUGUCUGGUGACAUCUUAGAGGUAAUCAGUUGUCUAGAGUCAGAGAACAGCAGUUGUUCAGGAGAACUAAAUGCCAUCUUCAUUAAGAGAUUGAUAACGUUAGCAAUGGAUCGAAAAAAUAGAGAGAAAGAAAGGGCUUCAACUUUGUUGUCAUCACUGUCUUUUCCACCUGAUGAUUCUGUAAACGGUUUUGUAAUGUUGAUAGAGUCUGCAGAUGACACUGCUCUCGACAACCCUGUUGUUGCUGAGGAUCUUGCAAUGUUUCUGGCUAGAGCGGUGGUGGAUGAGGUAUUGGCUCCACAACAUUUAGAGGAAAUUGAAUCCCAGUUUUGGGGGCAAGAAUCAAUUGGUAGCAAAGUGCUGCAAAUGGCAAAGUCAUUGCUAAAAGCUCGACUCUCCGGUGAAAGGAUCUUAAGGUGUUGGGGUGGAGGAGGAAGCAGCAGGCAUGGAUGGGCGGUUGAGGAUAUCAAAGAAAAAAUAGGAAAGCUGUUGGAGGAGUAUGAGUCUGGUGGGGACGUUAGAGAAGCUUGUCAUUGCAUAAAAGAGCUAGGGAUGCCAUUCUUUCAUCAUGAGGUGGUCAAGAAAGCAUUGAUAACAGUCAUCGAGAAAAAGAAUAAGAGGCUCUGGGGUUUGCUUGAAGAGUGUUUUGAAUCAGGACUCAUAACUAUGUAUCAAAUGACGAAGGGUUUCGGUAGGGUAGCAGAAUCUCUAGAGGACUUAGCCCUGGAUGUGCCUGAUGCUGAGAAACAAUUCACAAGUUAUGUUGAAAGAGCCAGGAUAUCGGGGUGGUUGGAUUCCUCCUCCAGUUUCAGCAAAGCAGAACAUGCAAAAGAGAACGGUAACUGUGUAUGAUACUUAACAGAGGCUAUAGGACUCAGAUGAUAAAAGAAUGCGCAUAGAGUAUGUUUUGGAGAAAUGACCCGUCACUGGAAGCCGAUCUGCAGUCGCAUGUGUCAAAACAGGAAAGCAUUUGGAUCUUGGUUUGCACUUUGCAGCACUAACAACU